rnacentral:rRNA from 1 species
UACCCGCUGAGUUUAAGCAUAUCAAUAAGCGGAGGAAAAGAAACUAACCAGGAUUCCCCUA